UACGUAGGUGGCAAGCGUUGUCCGGAAUUAUUGGGCGUAAAGGGCGCGUAGGCGGCCUGAUAAGUCAGAUGUGAAAGCCCGAGGCUCAACCUCGGUAGUGCAUUUGAAACUGUCGGGCUAGAGUGCAGGAGAGGUAAGUGGAAUUCCUAGUGUAGCGGUGAAAUGCGUAGAUAUUAGGAGGAACACCAGUGGCGAAGGCGACUUACUGGACUGUAACUGACGCUGAGGCGCGAAAGCGUGGGGAGCAAACAGG
rnacentral:rRNA from 1 species